rnacentral:rRNA from 1 species
UACGUAGGGUCCGAGCGUUGUCCGGAAUUACUGGGCGUAAAGAGCUCGUAGGCGGUUUGUCGCGUCUGCUGUGAAAACUGGGGGCUCAACCCCCAGCCUGCAGUGGGUACGGGCAGACUAGAGUGCGGUAGGGGAGAUUGGAAUUCCUGGUGUAGCGGUGGAAUGCGCAGAUAUCAGGAGGAACACCGAUGGCGAAGGCAGAUCUCUGGGCCGUAACUGACGCUGAGGAGCGAAAGCAUGGGGAGCGAACAGG